CCUACGGGAGGCUGCAGUGAGGAAUAUUGGUCAAUGGCCGAGAGGCUGAACCAGCCAAGUCGCGUGAGGGAAGACGGCCCUACGGGUUGUAAACCUCUUUUGUCGGGGAGCAAAGCGAACCACGUGUGGUUCAUUGAGAGUACCCGAAGAAAAAGCAUAGGCUAACUCCGUGACAGCAGCCGCGGUAAUACGGAGGAUGCGAGCGUUAUCCGGAGUUAUGGGGUUGAAAGGGUGCGCAGGCGGAGGUGCAAGUCAGCGGUCAAAUUGCGGGGCUCAACCCCGUACUGCCGUUGAAACUGCAUCACUUGAGUGCGCGAGAAGUAUGCGGAAUGCGUGGUGUAGCGGUGAAAUGCAUAGAUAUCACGCAGAACUCCGAUGGCGAAGGCAGCAUACCGGCGCGCAACUGACGCUCAUGCACGAAAGCGUGGGUAUCGAACAGGAUUAGAUACCCCGGUAGUC
rnacentral:rRNA from 1 species